AGCUUUUUGAAUCCGUGCUGAGAUUUCGUCAGACACCAACCCAUUAGGGCUGAUCAGACUAACGGAUAUAAGUAGUA
rnacentral:pre_miRNA from 1 species